AGCACUUGCGUAUCCCUUGGCAGAUCUCUCUCCCACUACAGCUGCUCUCUUUUAUAUUGUUUUAACUAUAAAUAAGAACAUGCUGACUUUGCCAGCUUUCAAAACUGUUUCCCUUCCCUUUCUUUUAGCAAUUUCAGCAAGAAGAUCUACCAAAAUACCAAAAUGCUCUGCUGCUUCCUGAUUGCCCUGUGGAGUAGAAAUCAGGGCUCAUUUCUCCAUUCCAAAGCAGAGUGCGAUACUAAGAAGUGUUUCUUCUUUGUCCUAACUAUACUGGCUAUAAUUAGACAGAAAAUGCCUCUCUCUCUCUUUAUUUUUUUUUUUUAAUUGGAUGAGAGAAUUUCUGGAAGAGGCACUUAGCUGUGGGAGAGGCUUUUUUAACAGAGAUGUCUGCAGAUAUGGAGGAAGGUGCAAAAUCCCUAAAGGGCAAGGUUAACCUGCUCCCAUUGGCUUUGGUCACAGUGGGGGAAUUCAGUCAUUUUCCUGCCCUCUUGGCCCACAAGCAUCAUGGAAAAUGGCUCUUCAUUGGCUAUCAAGGCUGAAUUGCUCCAGAGUGAUUCUGCAGCUGAUUGUGUUUGGCACGUUUCAAUCUCAGCAGUCCAAAACCCAGCCUUUCCUCAACAGAAGUAUGCACUACAAGGCUUAUCGUCUCUCACUCAAAGCACGUUGUGAACAGGUGUGUAUUUCCUUCUGACAAACACCAGAAGAACCAGCUCUUCUGCCUGCCAAGGAAGAGUAACAGAAAGCUGAGUGAGGCAGUCACUCCCCUGACCCAGCGGCUUGGUCCAGCUGCCAUCACAGCUGCAGAGACCUGCAGAGAGCACUGAGAAAUGGGCCCUCCUGCUGCCAUCCAUCCCUGGGUGUCAGGCUCUCUGAAAGAAAACUGUGACAAGGUGGAAGUCAGCUGCUUCUUCGAGGCAGCAGCAAUAGAAUGAGAAAUGAUGGCUUUCAGUCGCUCCAGGGAAUGUUCAAGUUGGAUAUUAG